rnacentral:rRNA from 1 species
AACGUAGGACACAAGCGUUAUCCGGAGUUACUGGGCGUAAAGGGCGUGUAGGCGGAUCAAUAAGUCUAUUCUGAAAGCUCCUGGCUAAACUGGGAGAGGCGAACGGAGACUGUUGGUCUAGAGUGAGGAAGAGGAAAGUGGAAUUCCUGGUGUAGCGGUGGAAUGCGCAGAUAUCAGGAGGAACACCAAUAGCGAAGGCAGCUCGCUGGGGACGGUAUUGACGCUAAGGCGCGAAAGCGUGGGGAGCGAACAGG